rnacentral:rRNA from 1 species
AUACUGCAGUCGAACGCACAGCGAAAGGUGCUUGCACCUUUCAAGUGAGUGGCGAACGGGUGAGUAACACGUGGACAACCUGCCUCAAGGCUGGGGAUAACAUUUGGAAACAGAUGCUAAUACCGAAUAAAACUUAGUGUCGCAUGACACAAAGUUAAAAGGCGCUUCGGCGUCACCUAGAGAUGGAUCCGCGGUGCAUUAGUUAGUUGGUGGGGUAAAGGCCUACCAAGACAAUGAUGCAUAGCCGAGUUGAGAGACUGAUCGGCCACAUUGGGACUGAGACACGGCCCAAACUCCUACGGGAGGCUGCAGUAGGGAAUCUUCCACAAUGGGCGAAAGCCUGAUGGAGCAACGCCGCGUGUGUGAUGAAGGCUUUCGGGUCGUAAAGCACUGUUGUAUGGGAAGAACAGCUAGAAUAGGAAAUGAUUUUAGUUUGACGGUACCAUACCAGAAAGGGACGGCUAAAUACGUGCCAGCAGCCGCGGUAAUACGUAUGUCCCGAGCGUUAUCCGGAUUUAUUGGGCGUAAAGCGAGCGCAGACGGUUUAUUAAGUCUGAUGUGAAAGCCCGGAGCUCAACUCCGGAAUGGCAUUGGAAACUGGUUAACUUGAGUGCAGUAGAGGUAAGUGGAACUCCAUGUGUAGCGGUGGAAUGCGUAGAUAUAUGGAAGAACACCAGUGGCGAAGGCGGCUUACUGGACUGCAACUGACGUUGAGGCUCGAAAGUGUGGGUAGCAAACAGGAUUAGAUACCCUGGUAGUCCACACCGUAAACGAUGAACACUAGGUGUUAGGAGGUUUCCGCCUCUUAGUGCCGAAGCUAACGCAUUAAGUGUUCCGCCUGGGGAGUACGACCGCAAGGUUGAAACUCAAAGGAAUUGACGGGACCCGCACAAGCGGUGGAGCAUGUGGUUUAAUUCGAAGCAACGCGAGAACCUUACCAGGUCUUGA